UUCUACUAUUUCCAUGACUCACCCUGUCUCAUAAUUUCUAUAAAUUGCAAUUAAAAUAUCAGUCAUUUUCAAGCUCAAAACCCAACUCAAAUUAUGAGUUUUAAUUCAAAAAGAUUGAGCUUUUCUUCUUCCCUAUUUGGCGAGCUAUGGCUUCCAUAAUCAGCUAAUUUGAGCUUCUAAUUUUGCCCAACAAUACCCACAAAGAACACCAAUUUAAUCAGAAAUUUAUGAACCCAAAAACCCAAAUCAUUUUACAAUUUUCGGCCAUUUUCUCUCUCCUCUGUUUCGACCACCGCGGCACCCUCCUGAAAACCGCACCACCACUGGUGCCGGCGAACCUCUUUGGCCGCCACCCAGCCACGUUCUUGGCUCCCCUUUUUCCGCGGCUGCUAUGGCCUCUGUUUCCCGUUGCUUCGUUUUUUUUGGGUGAAGUGUUUCCCGUUGCUUCGUGUUGUAGCCUCUUUGAUUUUCCAUUUUUAUGACAAAUUAUAAUCCAAUUGUUAAAAGGGAGUUGAUAUUUAUUAGCUCAAGUGGGCCAGCUGUUAGGGAGCAGCUAUUAUUAUUAUUAACGUAAUGGGCUUUUAAAAGACUAAGUAAGUGUUUUGUUUUAUUAAAUUUGGUCCAUUAUUUUAAAAGAAAAGUUCAUGUCUAAUUUGGGAUUGUUAUGAUGAAUCAUGGAGAAGGAAGUAUGAUGCAAUUGGGAUUUUGUUAUCAUGUUCGUAUAAUAAAGAUUAAGCCAAGUGGUACACUAUCGAGGUAAUUAUUAUGUCUAGCAUUUUAUCUUAUGUGCCCGUAUAUGUUAUAUAAUUUUUAUGUCCAGCAUUUAAGCUUUAUAUGCCCGUAUGUGUGUUAUGUAUGAUUAUAUGAUUAUUAUGUGAUUUAUGUGCUAAUGGCAUGAUGUAUGAUUUAAUGUUUAAAAGUACGAUUAUGAUAAUAUGUUAUUAUUAUAUGAUGUUAAAGCCCUUGUUCGGGAAUAAUGACGAUAUUUAUAAAGUUAUUUUAAAGAAAUACGAUGUUGCUUUUGUUGGCCUGGAAAAGUGAACUGAACUAGUAAAUGGGCAAGUUACAGGUAGAGGCCAUGUUAAAGUUAAAGUUUGGGAAACAGUUCCCCCCUGAAAAGAUGUAAGAAAAGCCCCGCCAAAGCCUGUACCUGCCAAUGAGCUGUAAAGGAAAUGAUUCCUUGCCGACACACGUUUUCAAGAUAACGAGAUUGAGUUAGUUAUUUCCGAACAAUAAAUGCUAAUGAUUGAUAUGUGCCAAAUGAUUUUCAAAAUAAAACCGUUUUGACGGGCUGGAGUAAUUAUUAUGUCUAGCAUUUUAUCUUAUGUGCCCGUAUAUGUUAUAUAAUUUUUAUGUCCAGCAUUUAAGCUUUAUAUGCCCGUAUGUGUGUUAUGUAUGAUUAUAUGAUUAUUAUGUGAUUUAUGUGCUAAUGGCAUGAUGUAUGAUUUAAUGUUUAAAAGUACGAUUAUGAUAAUAUGUUAUUAUUAUAUGAUGUUAAAGCCCUUGUUCGGGAAUAAUGACGAUAUUUAUAAAGUUAUUUUAAAGAAAUACGAUGUUGCUUUUGUUGGCCUGGAAAAGUGAACUGAACUAGUAAAUGGGCAAGUUACAGGUAGAGGCCAUGUUAAAGUUAAAGUUUGGGAAACAGUUCCCCCCUGAAAAGAUGUAAGAAAAGCCCCGCCAAAGCCUGUACCUGCCAAUGAGCUGUAAAGGAAAUGAUUCCUUGCCGACACACGUUUUCAAGAUAACGAGAUUGAGUUAGUUAUUUCCGAACAAUAAAUGCUAAUGAUUCAUAUGUGCCAAAUGAUUUUCAAAAUAAAACCGUUUUGACGGGCUGGAGUAAUAUUAUUGAGUUUUUCACUCAUUUUUGGCAUUUUUCUGUGUUUUUCCUGUUUUCUAUUUUUAUGAUGAUGUACAUGUUCGAUUAAGGAGCUCAAGUUGCUCAAAGAAGAGUUAUUACUGGAGUUGGUUAUUUAUUAUGGAGAUAUCGAGAUGAGAAGUAUUUAUAAUGGGAAUCCUGUUAUUGAGAUUUAAUUAUGAGAAUACUGUUUAUAUUUAUUUUUGGGAAAAUUUGUAUUAUUUAAGAAAUGUUAUUUGAGGAUUAUUUUAUUUGUGGGCCCAUACCCACAGGUCCCAGGGUUAAUUAAGCCUAAUUGCGCUGGCAAUGAUCAGUUAAGUACGGUUUAUUACCGAUAAUUAAGGAGCCGAAAAGUCGGGGCGUUACAGUAUGGUAUCAGAGCGGAGCCCAGCCUGAAGUGCUCUGCACUGCCUGGGUAUGAUCUUUGAGAUGUGAGAAAUAUUUUGAGGUUUAACCGUUAUUUGGGUUAUUAGAUAUUAAGUUAUGAGAAUAAGAGUUUUAAGAGAAGAUAAUGACUUUUUGGGUUGUUAAAAGAGUAUGUCAUAUUAUAAUUAUCUGAGUUUAGACUGACCUUAAGUUUUGAGAUAUCCAGUUUCGAGGACGAAACUUUUUCUAAGGGGGUAAGGAUGUAACACCCCGUCUUUUUAAGCCUCUUUUAUUAUUCUGUAAUUACGAUUGUUAACGUAAGUACGUCCUAAAUUUUACCGAUCUAUUUUGAUUAUCCUAUUAUGUCUAUCUUUUUAUUGUGACAUAAUACCGAUUAUUUAACCCCAAAUUAUUUUUCACACGUGAUCAUCUUUCAAGCUCAUUUAUUUCCAAUUAAUUUGAUUUUUAUUAUUGAGUUUGGAAAUCUCACUUUUGACCCUAAGUCAAACCAAAAGACAAAAUUCAAACUCCUCCUUUAUUCAUUCAUACGUGUAAAUCAGAUUAUUGUACAACAAGCUUUGACUUCUCUUUGUAUCAAAUUUCAGUCUAAGUUCAUGGAAAAUCAAUUUCUUCUUCCUCUCCUAUGCGUGUCAACACCCUGAUAAUUUUGUUGCCAAAUGUCUGAAAUUUUCUACUAUUUCCAUGACUCACCCUGUCUCAUAAUUUCUAUAAAUUGCAAUUAAAAUAUCAGUCAUUUUCAAGCUCAAAACCCAACUCAAAUUAUGAGUUUUAAUUCAAAAAGAUUGAGCUUUUCUUCUUCCCUAUUUGGCGAGCUAUGGCUUCCAUAAUCAGCUAAUUUGAGCUUCUAAUUUUGCCCAACAAUACCCACAAAGAACACCAAUUUAAUCAGAAAUUUAUGAACCCAAAAACCCAAAUCAUUUUACAAUUUUCGGCCAUUUUCUCUCUCCUCUGUUUCGACCACCGCGGCACCCUCCUGAAAACCGCACCACCACUGGUGCCCGCGAACCUCUUUGGCCGCCACCCAGCCACGUUCUUGGCUCCCCUUUUUCCGCGGCUGCUAUGGCCUCUGUUUCCCGUUGCUUCGUUUUUUUUGGGUGAAGUGUUUCCCGUUGCUUUGUGUUGUAGCCUCUUUGAUUUUCCAUUUUUAUGACAAAUUAUAAUCCAAUUGUUAAAAGGGAGUUGAUAUUUAUUAGCUCAAGUGGGACAGCUGUUAGGGAGCAGCUAUUAUUAUUAACGUAAUGGGCUUUUAAAAGACUAAGAAGUAUGAUGCAAUUGGGAUUUUGUUAUCAUGUUCGUAUAAUAAAGAUUAAGCCAAGUGGUACACUAUCGAGGUUCGAUUAAGGAGCUCAAGUUGCUCAAAGAAGAGUUAUUACUGGAGUUGGUUAUUUAUUAUGGAGAUAUCGAGAUGAGAAGUAUUUAUAAUGGGAAUCCUGUUAUUGAGAUUUAAUUAUGAGAAUACUGUUUAUAUUUAUUUUUGGGAAAAUUUGUAUUAUUUAAGAAAUUUUAUUUGAGGAUUAUUUUAUUUGUGGGCCCAUACCCACAGGUCCCAGGGUUAAUUAAGCCUAAUUGCGCUGGCAAUGAUCAGUUAAGUACGGUUUAUUACCGAUAAUUAAGGAGCCGAAAAGUCGGGGCGUUACACAUAAGGACUACCCCUCCGCAUUGAUUCUCAAACCAUUUUGACUCAUAUUCACCCGGUAAGUUGUUAAGGAGUUCCCUGCAGUCGUUGUUGCCUAUUCGGGCUUCAGUAACGACAAUGAGUGAUGGAUGGUGUGAUGCAAACAACUCUAAGAACGUCGCCUUGAACGAGGGUCUUGUCAUGGACUUGGCAUUCCAUAAGACGAUCAUGUACCUCGUGGUACCAUGGUGGAUACUCCAGUGACCAUCUUCAUCCCUUCUAAGCACACCUCGGUAUAAGCACGGGGUCGGGUCGGAAAAUAUAUGGGAACAACAGUAACCUCUAACCCACGAAAUAAAUUUUCCACACUCAUAACAUGGAUUGCGUCAGUGCUGGAUGCAAUGAAAACGUGGCCUCUGAAAUCAGGGAAGCUGUAGACAGG